AUGACGUCAAGUCCUCAUGGCCCUUAUAGGUGGGGCUACACACGUCAUACAAUGGCUGGUACAAAGGGUUGCCAACCCGCGAGGGGGAGCCAAUCCCAAUAAAGCCAGUCGUAGUCCGGAUCGUAGUCUGCAACUCGACUACGUGAAGUCGGAAUCGCUAGUAAUCGUGGAUCAGAAUGUCACGGUGAAUACGUUCCCGGGUCGUU
rnacentral:rRNA from 1 species